GAACAGUCGAAAGGAGGUGAUCCAGUGUCUCAUUGUCAUCAAUCGCGUGCGGUGGCCGCGACCCUGGUCCUCGGAGAGGUCCGGGCCUGACCUUUUGGUUGGCGCUAACGCCCGUCGGGCUGUUUUGGCGCUGUUCAGGCUGAGUGUUGUGGUCCGGCCGUUCGCGGUCAGACAAUGAAGGGCCGUCGCGGCGACGCGGCGGCCC
rfam:Caulobacterales bacterium RIFCSPHIGHO2_12_FTLL_68_13 rifcsphigho2_12_scaffold_12057, whole genome shotgun sequence.